CCUACGGGGGACAGCAGUGGGGAAUAUUGGACAAUGGGGGAAACCCUGAUCCAGCGACGCCGCGUGAGUGAAGAAGUAUUUCGGUACGUAAAGCUCUAUCAGCAGGAAAGAAAAUGACGGUACCUGACUAAGAAGCCCCGGAUAACUACGCGCCAGCAGCCGCGGUAAUACGGAGGGGGCAAGCGUUAGCCGGAUUUAAUGGGGGUAAAGGGAGCGGAGACGGCAGGGCAAGUCUGGAGUGAAAUGCCGGGGCCCAACCCCGGAACUGCUUUUGAAACUGUGGAGCCGGAGUGCAGGAGAGGUAAGGGGAAUUCCUGGGGUAGGGGUGAAAGGCGUAGAUAUUAGGAGGAACAGCAGUGGCGAAGGCGACUUUCUGGACUAUAACUGACGUUGAGGCUCGAAAGCGUGGGGAGCAAACAGGAUUAGAUACCCCAGUAGUC
rnacentral:rRNA from 1 species